rnacentral:rRNA from 1 species
GACGAACGCUGGCGGCGUGCUUAACACAUGCAAGUCGAACGGAAAGGCCCUGCUUUUGUGGGGUGCUCGAGUGGCGAACGGGUGAGUAACACGUGAGUAACCUGCCCUUGACUUUGGGAUAACUUCAGGAAACUGGGGCUAAUACCGGAUAGGAGCUCCUGCUGCAUGGUGGGGGUUGGAAAGUUUCGGCGGUUGGGGAUGGACUCGCGGCUUAUCAGCUUGUUGGUGGGGUAGUGGCUUACCAAGGCUUUGACGGGUAGCCGGCCUGAGAGGGUGACCGGCCACAUUGGGACUGAGAUACGGCCCAGACUCCUACGGGAGGCAGCAGUGGGGAAUAUUGCACAAUGGGCUGAAGCCUGAUGCAGCAACGCCGCGUGCGGGAUGACGGCCUGCGGGUUGUAAACCGCUUUCGCCUGUGACGAAGCGUGAGUGACGGUAAUGGGUAAAGAAGCACCGGCUAACUACGUG